rnacentral:rRNA from 1 species
UUCCAGCUCCAAUAGCGUAUAUUAAAGUUGUUGCAGUUAAAAAGCUCGUAGUUGAAUUUCGGGGUUAGUAGGCUGGUCAUGCCUCCGGUAUGUACUGGUCUCACUGAUUCCUCCUUCCUGAUGAACCGUAAUGCCAUAAUUUGGUGUUGCGGGGAAUCUGGACUGUUACUUUGAAAAAAUUAGAGUGUUUAAAGCAGGCUAACGCUUGAAUACAUUAGCAUGGAAUAAUGAAAUAGGACGUUCGGUCCUAUUUUGUUGGUUUCUAGGAUUGACGUAAUGAUUAAUAGGGAUAGUUGGGGGCAUUAGUAUUCAAUUGUCAGAGGUGAAAUUCUUGGAUUUAUUGAAGACUAACUACUGCGAAAGCAUUUGCCAAGGAUGUUUUCAUUAAUCAAGAACGAAAGUUAGGGGAUCGAAGACGAUCAGAUACCGUCGUAGUCUUAACCAUAAACUAUGCGACUAGGGAUCGG